rnacentral:lncRNA from 1 species
CAUGGCAAGACCAUCGAGAGAGAGAGAGAGAGAGAGAGAGAGAGAGAGAGAGAGAGAAAGGAAGGUUACUUCUAGGGAGUAACCUACUUAGGAUAAAAGCUUUUGGGAUUCUAAAAAUCUUUCUUCCUUAGGCCCUGAACUCAAACUUUUUUACCCCUCACCCAAAACCCCUAAGGCAAUUGAAAGCUAGUUUAUUUCCCAAUCUCUACUACUUCUGUACUUUCUGAAAGUCAGUUGCCUCAAAAGGAAAAAUGGCACCAAGUUAUGCACUAAACAUUGUUGGAUUUAGGUUCCUUGGACUUACAGAAUUUUAGUUGUUCCAGAAAAAGUAGCCUCUGUGAUGUCUACCUCAGGUGUGACCCAUGGAAGAUAAUGAAAUAGGAAGAUCUUACAAAGCCAGAAACUAACAGGUUAAUUGACCAAGGGCUUAGAAUUGUUGCUAUGAUUAUCCAACAGAAUUUGAUAUGUUUCAUGGAGCAGUGACCACUGUGUUUUUCAUUUUCUCCUUUACAGGCAUUUUACCAAUAUCCUGUUCCUUGUCCGCUAGGCAAUACUUAAUAGGCAGUACUGAAAUACUGACAUGGGGAUGGAGAUAGAGUCUCAUGACAAAAAUAGAGGUGAACGUGUUGUGGAAAAUAUAAAGAUGGAAGUCAGAAGCUGAGAAAGCUGAGACAGAAAGAUAAGAAACUUGGUUCAUUCAUGACAUCCUGAAGUUGCUGCAGAAGUCCUAGAAUGACUACAUCUGGACUUAAAUGUCAAAAAUAAAUACCUGUUUAAACAGUUUUUUGGCUUUAUAGCUGAACAUAGGCUUG